rnacentral:rRNA from 1 species
AGGAUGAACGCUGGCGGCGUGCAUAACACAUUCAAGUCGAACGGUGACGGAAACUUCGGUUUCCUGAUCAGUGGCGGACGGGUGAGUAACGCGUGAGCAACCUGCCCUAUAUUGCGGGAUAACAACCGGAAACAGUUGCUAAUACCGCAUGACGUAUUCGGAUCGCAUGUUCUGAAUACCAAAGAAUUUUGAUAUCGGAUGGGGAUGCGUGACAUUAGAUAGUAGGCGGGGUAACGGCCCACCUAGUCUACGAUGUCUAGGGGUUCUGAGAGGAAGGUCCCCCACACUGGAACUGAGACACGGCCCAGACUCCUACGGGAGGCAGCAGUGGGGAAUAUUGGGCAAUGGGGGAAACCCUGACCCAGCAACGCCGCGUGAAGGAAGAAGGCCUUCGGGUUGUAAACUUCUUUUACCAGGGACGAAGGACGUGACGGUACCUGGAGAAAAAGCAACGGCUAACUACGUG